rnacentral:rRNA from 1 species
GAAAUCAGUUCAGCACUAAGUCACUUUGUCUAUAUGGCAAAUGUGAGAUGCAGUGUAUGGAACAUCAAUAUUCUAGUAUGAGAAAUUAACGAUUUAAGUCCUUCUUAAAUGAGGCCAUUUACCCAUAGAGGGUGCCAGGCCCGUAUAACGUUAAUGAUUAUUAGAUGGUGUUUCCAAAGAGUCGUGUUGCUUGAUAGUGCAGCACUAAGUGGGUGGUAAACUCCAUCUAAAACUAAAUAUAACCAUGAGACCGAUAGUAAACAAGUACCGUGAGGGAAAGUUGAAAAGAACUCUGAAUAGAGAGUUAAAUAGUACGUGAAACUGCUUAGAGGUUAAGCCCGAUGAACCUGAAUAUCCGUUAUGGAAAAUUCAUCAUUAGACUUGUAAUAUUUAAACAAUAUUAUAAUAAUAGUGUGCAUUUUUUCCAUAUAAGGACAUUGUAAUCUAUUAGUUAAAAGUAAUUUAUCAAAAAAUUUUAGAUAAAUGUUUAUUUAAAUUAAAGUGCUUGCAUUUUAACAUAAAAUAAAUGUCUUUAAUUUGAUAAAGUGCUGAUAGAUUUAUAUGAAUACAGUGCGUUAAUUUUUCGGAAUUAUAUAAUGGCAUGAUUAUCAUUGAUUUUUGUGUUUAUUAUAUGCACUUGUAUGAUAACAAUGCGAAA